CCCGGUGGUAAUACCGGAGGGGCAAUACCCGUUCCCAUCCCGAACACGGAAGUUAAGCCCUCCUGGGUCGAUGAUACUAUGGUCGUGAGGCCAUGGGAAAGUAGAUCGCUGCCGGGA
rfam:Nitrospirae bacterium RBG_16_43_11 RBG_16_scaffold_1048, whole genome shotgun sequence.